CCAUCUUCAGCGGGCCUUGGUCCUGCGGCACGCCGCCGCGGGGUAAUAGGGAAGCCGGUGCAACUCCGGCGCUGCCCCCGCAACUGUCAGCGGCAAGCCUUCUGCAACACCCACUGGCCCCGGCCGGGAAGGGGCAGCAGGCGCCCGAGCCGCAAGCCAGGAGACCUGCCAGGCCAAAGACCAUCCC
rnacentral:ncRNA from 2 species